rnacentral:rRNA from 1 species
UGGGUAACCUGCCUCAAAGAGGGGGAUAGCCUCCCGAAAGGGAGAUUAAUACCGCAUAAUAUGUUUAGGUCGCAUGACUUUAACAUCAAAGGAUUUUCUUUUAGAAAUUCCACUUUGAGAUGGACCCGCGGCGCAUUAGCUAGUUGGUGAGGUAACGGCUCACCAAGGCAACGAUGCGUAGCCGACCUGAGAGGGUNAUCGGCCACAUUGGAACUGAGACACGGUCCAGCUCCUAGGAG